rnacentral:rRNA from 1 species
CUCCUACGGGAGGCAGCAGCUAAGAAUCUUCCGCAAUGGGCGAAAGCCUGACGGAGCGACGCCGCGUGGACGAAGAAGGCCGGAAGGUUGUAAAGUCCUUUUCCUGGGGGAGAAUAAUGCGGGGAGGGAAUGCCCUGCAGAUGACGUGAACCAGGGAAUAAGCCCCGGCUAAUUACGUGCCAGCAGCCGCGGUAACACGUAAGGGGCGAGCGUUGUUCGGAUUUAUUGGGCGUAAAGGGCGUGUAGGCGGUAGUGCAAGUCUGGUGUGAAAGGCCCCGGCUCAACCGGGGAAGCGCGCUGGAAACUGUGCUGCUAGAGUUUAGGAGGGGAAGCUGGAAUUCCUGGUGUAGGGGUGAAAUCUGUAGAGAUCAGGAAGAACACCGGAGGCGAAGGCGAGCUUCUGGCCAUAGACUGACGCUGAGGCGCGAAAGCGUGGGGAGCAAACAGGAUUAGAUACCCUGGUAGUCCACGCUGUAAACGAUGUGCACUAGGUGUUGGGGGUAUGAACUCUCGGUGCCGGAGCUAACGCGUUAAGUGCACCGCCUGGGGAGUACGCCGGCAACGGUAAAACUCAAAGGAAUUGACGG